AUGCAACAGCCUGCGAACUCACCGGAUAUGAACGCUCUAGACCUUGGCCUAUUUUCUUCACUACAAUCCAUGUCAGAUAGGCUAGUCUCUAAUAAUUUAGAUGAGCUAAUCAACAAUGUGCAGCACGAAUAUCAUGCUUAUGAUGCCGAUAAGAUAAACAGGAUUUUCCUUACACUACAGAGUUGCUUAAUUGAGGUAAUGAAGAUAGGUGGAGGCAAUGACUACAAGAUCCCUCACAUGUACAAGGAUGGCCUAGAGCGUACAAGAAAUCUACCUGAUGUUUUAGGGUGUGAUCGCGAACUCUAUGAGAGCGCCAUGCAGAUCAUAGCCGACUAG
rnacentral:rRNA from 1 species